GGAGUUGCCACAAGAAUAUCAACACCUCUCUCAAGCUCUCUGAGCUGUUGAUUAAUCGGGGCUCCACCAUAGGCCACUACCACUCUUACACCAGUCUGAUAAGAGAACUUUUUAGCUUCCUCGUGUAUCUGCAUUGAGAGCUCUCUUGUUGGUGAGAGAAUAAGAGCAAGGGGGAAAACUGUCCGCGACCCAUGAGGCCGUUGCGGAAAAUGCCCCCUCAUGAUUCCACUAAUAAUUGGGAAACAAAAGGCAGCUGUCUUGCCUGAUCCAGUCUGGGCACAGGCCAUGAGAUCUCGUCCUGCUAAGGAGAUGGGAAUUGCAUAUCGCUGGACAGGAGUUGGCUUGACAUAUUUGCACCUCCUAAUAUUCAAGUUAACGGCCUCCCCUAAAUCUAUCUCUGCAAAUGUAUUAACAGGAGGUGGCACAUUUUCUCCACUUGUUUCCACUGGAAUAUCCUCAUAAGCAUCAAAAUUUAUACCAGUAUUCUCUUGAUCAAACGAUUGCUCCAAGUCCACAUCUGCAUCAUUACCAAACGGGUUAACUUCCCGCUCUCUCCCCCAACCACCUCCUCUGCCACCCCAACCACCUCCUCUUCCACCACCACCAUACCCCCCUUGGCGUCCGUAAUCUGGCCUAGAACCACCCCAUCGAGGCCCACUAGUUGGUCCAUUAAACCCUGAGCGGUCAUUACCCGAAGGUGGGCCACCGUGCGAUGGAGCUAGAGGUUCCGCUGUCAUUGGUCUGUUGCGAAGAUGCGGUGGGACAUAAGAUGAUCUCCUCGUAGAAGCAGAAGCUCCACUGGCGCCACUAGGCCCACCAUUAUCAGUAGCUACAUUCUCAACAGAAUCUGCCCAUGAGUUCCUCAUUAUCAAAAAAAAGUUCUUAGUUCAAAAUCGUAAUCAGCAAAAAUCAGAAAUCUUCUUCUUCAAAACACUCUACUUAGAUCUGUUUAGAAUAGAUUCAGCAGUCCAAAACCUUUAGAGAGAGAAUGGAGAAACCCUAGCGCGCGCUGACAAAGAAGGAAGAAGAAUAUAAGAAAAAAUUCGGACAGAGAAACUAAAAAAUCGGAAAGAAGAUGCUUUAGAUUUGAG
rnacentral:misc_RNA from 1 species